rnacentral:rRNA from 1 species
AUUGAACGCUGGCGGCAGGCCUAACACAUGCAAGUCGAGCGGCAGCGGGUCCUUCGGGAUGCCGGCGAGCGGCGGACGGGUGAGUAAUGCCUAGGAAUCUGCCUGGUAGUGGGGGAUAACGUUCGGAAACGGACGCUAAUACCGCCUACGUCCUACGGGAGAAAGCGGGGGAUCUUCGGACCUCACGCUAUCAGAUGAGCAUAGGUCGGAUUAGCUAGUUGGUGGGGUAAAGGAUCACCAAGGCGACGAUCCGUAACUGGGCUGAGAGGAUGAUCAGUCACACUGGAACUGAGACACGGUCCAGACUCCUACGGGAGGCAGCAGUGGGGAAUAUUGGACAAUGGGCGAAAGCCUGAUCCAGCCAUGCCGCGUGUGUGAAGAAGGUCUUCGGAUUGUAAAGCACUUUAAGUUGGGAGGAAGGGCAGCUAGUUAAUACCUGGUUGUUUUGACGUUACCAACAGAAUAAGCACCGGCUAACUUCGUGCCAGCAGCCGCAGUAACAC